CAUUUGGCCUUUUCCAGCCCCUGGGCCGCCCCCUGCAUUCUGGAAUCCAGAGCCUUUGCCUCUGGUGCUGCUGCUGAGGCUGCCCGCCAGUCUCUCUGCUCCUCUGCUUCAGACCACUCUUUGCACAUCUGGCUCCAGCUGCCCCUGUCACCUGGCCAUGACCACAGCGCUUCCUGGGAUUCUGGCCCAGCUCUGAGCCCCGGGACUCAGGGCCUCCUCCCCGGGGCCAUGGCCAACUCGGGCCUCCAGCUCCUGGGAUACUUCCUGGCUCUGGGUGGCUGGGUGGGCAUCAUUGCCAGCACUGCCCUGCCCCAGUGGAAACAGUCCUCCUACGCAGGCGAUGCCAUCAUCACCGCCGUCGGCCUCUACGAAGGGCUGUGGAUGUCCUGCGCCUCUCAGAGCACUGGACAGGUGCAGUGCAAGCUCUAUGACUCGCUGCUCGCCCUGGACGGUCACAUCCAGUCAGCGCGAGCCCUGAUGGUGGUGGCCGUGCUCCUGGGCUUCGUGGCCAUGGUGCUCAGUGUUGUGGGCAUGAAGUGCACGCGGGUCGGAGACAGCAACCCCGUCGCCAAGGGCCGUGUGGCCAUCUCUGGGGGUGCCCUCUUCCUCCUGGCAGGCCUCUGCACCUUGACUGCCGUCUCGUGGUAUGCCACACUAGUGACCCAGGAAUUCUUCAACCCCAGCACACCUGUCAAUGCCAGGUUCGAAUUUGGCCCUGCUCUGUUCAUAGGCUGGGCCUCCGCUGGCCUGGCCAUGCUGGGGGGGUCCUUCCUCUGCUGCACAUGCCCGGAGCCUGAGAGAGCCAGCAGCACUCCACAGCCCUAUCGCCCUGGACCCUCAACUGCUGCCCGAGAGUACGUCUGAUCCUACCUGCCAUGCCCAGUCCUCACCCAACAGCCCCCUCACCCAGCACUCUAGCAGGUCCCCCACAGCACACUGGGCAGGGCCAGUGGGGUACUGAUGUCCCUUGAACUCAGUCUGAGGUACCAAGAAGCUGAUCUUCGACAUAGGCAGCCCUCCUGGGAUCUGAGAUAAACCCAGACACUCAGAACGAUCAGAGAUGAGGCCCAGCCCACACAUGGCACCUAGUAAGGCCUAUGCCUUGCCUUGCACAGCUUGGUGGACCCUAGCAUGCGUCCAUACCCCAAGACAGGGCCUCACACACCAGCCCAUCCCCCUGCCCUUCAUUUGCUCACUAAUUUACUGAAGGGGCCAUGUGUUUACUAUGACCUGACUCCAGAGGCCUCACAGUAACCAGAGGGACCUCAGUGCCCAGUGCUUUGGUCUGGGAUAGCCCUUCACCCUCCUGAAUCCACAGGGUCCUCAUAGUACUCCCACGAACAGAGGCUGCUCCAAGGAUAAGCUCUGGGACCCAUUGUUAAAUUGCCCGCCUCCGCCAAGGGUCCCCUGGGUGUGUAAUGUCCAGGUCCCAGCCAGGCCUUACCCCUUUGCCACAUCUAGACUGUAUGUUUAGUGUAUUUUUGUUGUUGUUGUUGUUGGGUUUUUUGUUUUGUUUUGAUUUUGGGGAAAAUAAGUAAACAUUCAGCUCUAA